rnacentral:rRNA from 1 species
UACGUAGGGCGCAAGCGUUGUCCGGAAUUAUUGGGCGUAAAGAGCUCGUAGGCGGUCUGUUGCGUCCGCUGUGAAAACCCAGGGCUUAACCCUGGGCUUGCAGUGGAUACGGGCAGACUAGAGGCAGGUAGGGGAGACUGGAAUUCCUGGUGUAGCGGUGAAAUGCGCAGAUAUCAGGAGGAACGACCGGUGGCGAAGGCGGGUCUCUGGGCCGAUACUGACGUGGAGGAGCGAAAGCGUGGGGAGCGAACAGG